rnacentral:rRNA from 1 species
GAUGAACGCUGGCGGCGUGCCUAAUACAUGCAAGUCGAGCGAACAGACGAGGAGCUUGCUCCUCUGACGUUAGCGGCGGACGGGUGAGUAACACGUGGAUAACCUACCUAUAAGACUGGGAUAACUUCGGGAAACCGGAGCUAAUACCGGAUAAUAUAUUGAACCGCAUGGUUCAAUAGUGAAAGACGGUUUUGCUGUCACUUAUAGAUGGAUCCGCGCCGCAUUAGCUAGUUGGUAAGGUAACGGCUUACCAAGGCAACGAUGCGUAGCCGACCUGAGAGAGGGUUCGGCCACACUGUAACUGAGACACGGUCCAGACUCCUACGGGAGGCAGCAGUAUGGAAUCUUCCGCAAUGGUCCAAAGCCUGACGGAGCAACGCCGCGUGAGUGAUGAAGGUCUUCGGAUCGUAAAACUCUGUUAUUAGGGAAGAACAAAUGUGUAAGUAACUAUGCACGUCUUGACGGUACCUAAUCAGAAAGCCACGGCUAACUACGUG